AUCGCAGACUUCAUAGAAUCUUUUCUAUAGUAAACAUUCACAACUGUAUUUCUUAAAUGAGCUACAGACUCCAACCUGGCUGAUGAGUCGAACCGCGGCGCCCAAGAGUGAAGCCACUGUGUCAGCAUCUGCUGAUGGCAAUGAUCUCGCCCUGCUUGAGCGUCUGGCUUCGGCCGGCUCUUUCAGGUGGGUACUGUCGGUCGUCUGACAGGU
rnacentral:snoRNA from 1 species